GACAGAGGCCUCGAGCGUUUAGGCGGAAUCACUGGGCUUAAAGCGUGUGUAGGCGGGCCCGUCAGUACCUUGUGAAAUCCCACGGCUCAACCGUGGAACCGCGUGGGUAUACUGCGGGUCUUGGGCCGACGUAGGGGCAGCCGGAACAAGCGGUGGAGCGGUGAAAUGCGUAGAGUAAUCGCUUGGAACGCCGGAAGGUGAAAACAGGCUGCUGGGGUCGCGCCGACGCGUGAGACACGGAAAGCCAGGGGAGCAAACGGG
rnacentral:rRNA from 1 species